GCGGGGCGGUGGACGCGGUGCGAGCGCGCGCGGCUCGGGCCGGCGGCGCCUCCGGGCCGGCUCUGUCCGAGCCCCCGCAGCCCCGGCCCUGCUCGUCGCCCCGCGUCCAGAAACUGGACGCGGCGGGGCGGCCUCGGGGUCGGGCCUGUCUCCAGCACCAGCAAUUCCGUGCCCUGGGCCCGGGCUGGGUCAGCGUUCGCCGCGGACGUGGGGUGGCCAGGGCGCAGCCGCCGUGAACUUCCGCGCCGCGUUCCGCGUGCAGGGUUUUCUCUACAGCAGUGUCUCCCCUUACCCUUGGUCUCAGUUCCCGUGGCGGCCCGGUCCGGGCGCAGGUGACCCUCCUUCGGACGGAUGCCCGGCCUGCAAUGGCUUCCCGCUGCGCCACGCACCUGCGCCCCGCACCUCCCUCCUGCCGCCGUGUGGGCCUCUCGUCCUCGCAUGCUGUCCAAGAGGGUCCCAGAAUGCAUCUGCUCUUGCCUGCCUCUGAGCUUUUAUGAAUGCUGUUCCCUCCACAGGGACUUCCAGCUCUAGAUCGGUGGUGGCCCCCCCGAGGCCCCUGCUCUGGGCAAGCCGACACCCACGUCGUAAGGACCCUCCAGCAGCCCCGCGGUCCAAGCGUCCGGGGGCCCCGCAGCCGGCACCAGCAUGGGAAUCCCCCAGCCCCAGCGAAGAGGACCACGUGCCUGGCUGACAUUUUGACACAAGAGAGGGUCAGGAGAGAGGCAGGGGAGAGAACAAGAGGCAGACUGCACGGACCCGUCACAGGGCUCUGUCUCAUGACCCUGAGAUCGUGACCUGAGCCGAAAUCAAGAGUCGGAUGCCUGGAGCGCCUGGGGGGGAGAGGGGGCGGGCUCCGUGGGUGAAGCGUCUGCCUUCAGCUCCAGUCAGGAUCCCAGAGGCCUGGGAUCGAGCCCCGUGGCGGGCCCCCUGCUCGGCGGGAGGCCUGCAUUUCCCUCUCCCUCUGCUGUGCUCUCUCCAGCUCCUUUCUCAAAUAAAUAAAAUCUCAAAAAAUAAAA